UAAAAUUAACCGAUUUUCUUUCUCGCUGUCUAAUUCCAAACAUUUCACCAUGAUUAUUGUCUCUUUUCAUUCUCACGAUAAAUAUCGAUGGAUUUUUUUUAUCGUAUCACUAUAUUUUACCUUUAAAAAGUCGGAAGAAAUCCUCGAUGAGGAUUGUAAGUUUUUCGCGAGCGUCCGAUUUAAACGACCCGGUUGAAAUUGAAAUCGUAGGUUGCAGUUAGAAUCAGACAUCGAGAUAUCGGCGCGAUGGCCAAUCGUUUACGAAGAGAAUCGAGAACAGGGAACAUAUUUCUUGCCGCGACAGGUGCAUAAAGGAACGUCGAAUCAAAAAUGACAAGGUAUUUGAUUUACGGCCAGCGGAGAUUUUUAUACGGAGCCAUUUUUAAAGUCUCGAAUGAAGUGAGCGAAAAAAAUAGUGCAACGCGAACACGGACGUGCCGUUGGCUAGGCUGGUGGUCGAUGUGACCGUUUUUGUCCAUGGAAAUAAUGCGUAUCGUCAAUUACCUGGUUUACCAUUACAAAGCCCAAAGUGAGAAUAGGAUUAUCAAACCGUUUAGAAACGCCACAGAGCCAGUCGAUCUCGUCGAUCCGAUAACGUUUGUCAAUAUCCAUGCUGUUUCUCCACUUUGUUUCGUUUUUAUUUCUAGUUUACAGUCAACGCGGGCGAAAGAAAAUUCAGGAAUUUUCUAUAAAAUCGAAACUGUGCGAGAUAUAUAUGGAGAAAUUCGAAAAUAUAGAUAAACGCAGGAACGUAAUAAUAAAUAAAUAGGAAUUAUUACAAAACUACAAAAGUAAUAAAUUUCUAAUUUAUUGACAAUUUAUACAAAGAAACUUAUGUACAGAUGUAAUAAAAAAAUUCGGGCAAGUCCGACAGCUCUUGGUCAAAGACACGUUGUAGAAAUUAUGUUAUAUUACAUUGUCAACGUGCGAAGAAUGUAUUAAUGAAUACAUUCGAACGAAGAAACAUUACACAAAGAGUCGUAUAUAACUGGCUGUUUAAACGAAGGCCUUCGUACAAAUCCAACGCGUUGAUCAUUUUUCUUUUCGUUCUGGGCGUGGUGUCUCCAACACGAUCAAACGUUGCGUCACCGUAUUUAAACGUUUUUGUGCCGAUCGGUCGAGCUUUUUCACCCCGUCACGCUCCAGGAAGUCGCCAGGACCACCAGCCCCGCCCUUACCCCCGAUAAGUUCACCGACCCACGUGCUCGCGUGUGUCGCCUAUAAAAGCUCACUUAGCAUCAACUUGCACGGCAAUGUUCCAUCGUGAUGGCUGAUGGAAAGUCGCUGCUCGGAAUCUUGGCGGCCUCCGUCGUCCGCGAGGGGAUAUUUCACCGAUCCUCGACUUAACUAGAGGAGGACAGGCCAGAUCGAGGAACGCCGCCGAUCGAUGGACCCUAUCGAUGAAUCGAGAAUCAACCUUACCUACGUCGAGUUUGUCUCUGGUUCCUUCACCUUCAAAUUCGGCUCUCGUUGAAUUUGAACUACGUAUCCGAAAUAUCCGCGCCACGGUGGCCAUCGAUCUCCACUGAACUCUCAGGCCAUUCAGUGGAUCGUCGAGGAUGCACGAGCAGCGGCGCGUCGAAGGAUCCAUCGAUCGUGGCCCGUUCCUCGAUCACCGGCAACUCACGAGGCAUUAACAACCCAGCCACAACCGUAUCUACCUCGUUAUCAGCCACACCUUCUCUCUCGUUCUCGUCUCGUAACGACAGUCUCGCGAAAACAAUUCGACCUUCUUGCUUCGCGCCAGGACGAGAUCGAUCCGCUUGGAAUGUCCACGGUAGUCAAGCAUCUGUUCAACUUGCAAUUCCUGUUCGAGACAGCCUAACUGAUUUAUCGCGAUCCGCCGCGUUCGUCGAUGAAAUACGAGCUAGGGUAUCUUGCUCGUAUGGCUGGACAGAGUGAAAUUCCCGUAAAUCGACGAUUUUAAUUCGACGAUCGAAGUCGAAAUUACAGUCGAAUCGAAACGCGCGCUAAUAUCAGGAAUUGAUUGUUACACAAUCGUAUAACAGUAUCGGCCAAAAGUUUGAUAAUUUUGUAACUUUGUUGCAUUUUAUGUUUGAUUUAAUUGUAAUAAGUCACGCACGUGGUGUGAAUUAAGAAGGAAAAUUAAUUUGCAAUCCUGUGGAAUUUGUAAAUGAAAUUUAAAUCGAAGAUUAAUAAGUUGACAAAUUGCAGUCAUAAAGACUCAAUGACAAACGUUUACGUAAGAAGAUGAAAAUAGUAAGACGAGGGAU